UCUUAUCAAGAGCGGUGGAGGGACUGGCCCGAUGAAACCCGGCAACCAGCUGGUGCCCCAAAACGGCACCGGCCAGGUGCUAAAUCCUGCGGGAGAUAUUUCUCCCGGGAGAUAAGA
rnacentral:ncRNA from 1 species